rnacentral:sRNA from 1 species
UGACUUAAGAGGGAGUCGCCUCUAAUAA